UGACCAGACUCCUACGGGAGGCAGCAGUGGGGAAUAUUGCACAAUGGGCGAAAGCCUGAUGCAGCAACGCCGCGUGAAGGAAGAAGGGUUUCGGCUCGGAAACUUCUAUCAACAGGGACGAAAGAAAUGACGGUACCUGAAUAAGAAGCCCCGGCUAACUACGUGCCAGCAGCCGCGGUAAUACGUAGGGGGCAAGCGUUAUCCGGAUUUACUGGGUGUAAAGGGAGCGUAGGCGGGGGAACAAGUUGAAUGUUUAAGAUAUGGGCUCAACUCAUAUAAGCGUUCAAAACUGUUUUUCUUGAGUGAAGUAGAGGUAAGCGGAAUUCCUAGUGUAGCGGUGGAAUGCGUAAAUAUUAGGAGGAACACCAGUGGCGAAGGCGGCUUACUGGGCUUUAACUGACGCUGAGGCUCGAAAGCGUGGGUAGCAAACAGGAUUAGAUACCCGUGUA
rnacentral:rRNA from 1 species